rnacentral:tRNA from 1 species
GAGGCAUUAGCUUAAAUAAAGUAGGUGAUUUUUAAUCGCAAGAUGUAAUACAUGUUUCG